UGUUAUAUUAGUUCCUGUUGAGAAUUGGAGUAGCGGCCAAAGGAUGCUAGACCAUAAAGACUCCGCCAGCGCACCCACAGGCCUGGGGUUCUAAGUGGGUUGAAUUUCCACUGUGGUUAAAAAAUCUCCCUCACUGGCAUAACUAAGGUGCAGGGGGUUUUCUCAACCGGAAAGCUGGUUGCUUCCUCUUAAUGAAAAAUGGUUGGGGCCAUCAUACCCCACCCAGAGCAAGCCGUGCAGGUCGACGAUAGCAGCAGCAGCUUUUGUGCUGUGCCGGUCGACAACUACAGCCUAGAGUUCAUCAAGUUCUCGCCUUCUAGCAGGUCUACUAGAUUUCAUUUUAAGUUUGUGCAGUGUCCAUUUCAUCCUACAGUACCUAACCAUUGCUCUGAGCACUUAAUCUAGCUUUGUUCUAUUAAUGAUCUCUUGUAUUCAUGUGUUUCUCCUUAAAUUAGUACUAGAUCAGCACUUGGUUAACUACUUUUGCUCGAUUUGAUGUGACGGCUGUCAUUUUUAGUCUUACCUUAGCCAAAAAAAAAUAACUGAGUUGUCAGUUUUUGGCUAUGUUGGCUCAAAUGUGGCUUUCCAUUUGAUAAUUAAAUAGGAUGAUGGGAAAUGAUUCAAGUUGUUCUGUUCUAACGUCCUAUAAUGGGAAAACAGGGUUCUAUGUAGGAA